CACCGCCAUACUUUUCAAUAUAUAUAUCAGAUUCAAAUUCAAUCACCUCUGUAUAUCCCCUUUUCUACAUCUAUAAUUUGCAAACACAAACUUGUCCAGCUAGGACUCAAGUUCGUUCCUUCCACCGUAGAGGUGCGGCGCGACUAGGACAUGAAUUUUCAUUGAAUUGCUCAAGUCAGUUAUCAAGUUCAAACUCAAGUUAAAGUUUCAGGUAUUUUACUGUUGGAGACGCGUGGAGGGUCGAAUGAGCGCAUCAAGUUAUUUUGCGAACAGUUGAUUUCAUUCUAAAUUAAUUUAAGUAUUUAAAGUUUUGCUUAGCACAGGUUUUAUUUAAUAGUUAAAUAAUCUCAUGUAUGACUUCUUUACGUCAUACUUUGGGACCGAGAUGUUGUGAUCGGUUUUAAACCAAAGUUUGUAUUUGAAAAUAUUAUUAAAAAGAUAAUUUCUUUUAAAUCGUUUUAAAA